CGGCAGGAGAAGGGAGACACACCGGCUCGCUCUGCGGCAUGGGGCUGGCUCACAGUCAGCUGGAGGAAGCAGAAGUUGCAGUAACUUUGGAAAACAUCUGCGCGUGGGCAAGAACAAGGAUGUUCACCUACUGAAACCUUGCUCCAAAUGAAGAAAAAAUGGAAGGUCCCUCAGUGCACCUUGAUGAGAGAAUGGAUAAGCUGGAAUAGUCACGUGACUAGGUAACAUACAGCAGCUAAAACGAAUGAGCAGAGCUGUAUGCAGCGAGGCAGAUGAAUCUCGAGAACAUGUGCUGAACCACCA
rnacentral:lncRNA from 1 species